CUAAUAGAUGAGCCUAGGCCGGAUUAGCUAGUUGGUAGGGUAAAGGCCUACCAAGGCGACGAUCUGUAGCUGGUCUGAGAGGAUGGCCAGCCACACUGGAACUGAGACACGGUCCAGACUCCGUACGGGGAGGCAGCAGGUGGGGAAUAGUUGGGCAAUGGGGGCAACCCUGAUCCAGCCAUGCCGCGUGUGUGAAGAAGGCCUUCGGGUUGUAAAGCACUUUAAGCGAGGAGGAAGGUUUUUAGUUUAAUACACUAAAGAAUUGACGUUACUCGCAGAAUAAGCACCGGCUAACUCUGUG
rnacentral:rRNA from 1 species